CCUACGUGGGGCAGCAGUGGGGAAUAUUGGGCAAUGGGCGCAAGCCUGACCCAGCAACGCCGCGUGAAGGAAGAAGGCUUUCGGGUUGUAAACUUCUUUUCUGCGGGACGAAGAAAGUGACGGUACCUCAGGAAUAAGCCACGGCUAACUACGUGCCAGCAGCCACGGUAAUACGUAGGUGGCAAGCGUUAUCCGGAUUUAUUGGGUUUAAAGGGCGUGAAGGCGGGAAAGCAAGUCAGAUGUGAAAACUCAGGGCUCAACCCUGAGCCUGCAUUUGAAACUGUUUUUCUUGAUUUCUGGAGAGGCAAUCGGAAUUCCGUGUGUAGCGGUGAAAUGCGUAGAUAUACGGAGGAACACCAGUGGCGAAGGCGGAUUGCUGGACAUUAACUGACGCUGAGGCGCGAAAGCGUGGGGAGCAAACAGGAUUAGAUACCCUUGUAGUC
rnacentral:rRNA from 1 species